GUGCCGUUAGCUCAGGCGGUAGAGCAUCUGACUUUUAAUCAGAGGGUCGCAGGUUCGAGUCCUGCACGGCACACCA
rnacentral:tRNA from 1 species